rnacentral:rRNA from 1 species
AGGACGAACGCUGGCGGCGUGCUUAACACAUGCAAGUCGAGCGGAAAGGCCCUUCGGGGUACUCGAGCGGCGAACGGGUGAGUAACACGUGAGUAACCUGCCCUAGGCUUUGGGAUAACCCUCGGAAACGGGGGCUAAUACCGAAUAUUCAUUCUGGAUGGCAUCAUCUGGUGUGGAAAGUUUUUCGGCCUGGGAUGGGCUCGCGGCCUAUCAGCUUGUUGGUGGGGUGAUGGCCUACCAAGGCGACGACGGGUAGCCGGCCUGAGAGGGCGACCGGCCACACUGGGACUGAGACACGGCCCAGACUCCUACGGGAGGCAGCAGUGGGGAAUAUUGCACAAUGGGCGGAAGCCUGAUGCAGCGACGCCGCGUGAGGGAUGAAGGCCUUCGGGUUGUAAACCUCUUUCGACAGGACGAAGCGCAAGUGACGGUACCUGGAGAAGAGCGCCGGCCAACUACGCGCCAGCAGCCGC